GACGAACGCUGGCGGCGUGCUUAACACAUGCAAGUCGAACGGAAAGGCCCUGCUUUUGUGGGGUGCUCGAGUGGCGAACGGGUGAGUAACACGUGAGUAAACUGCCCUUGACUUUGGGAUAACUUCAGGAAAAUGGGGCUAAUACCGGAUAGGAGCUCCUGCUGCAUGGUGGGGGUUGGAAAGUUUCGGCGGUUGGGGCUGGUCUCGCGGCUUAUCAGCUUGUUUGUGGGGUAGUGGCUUACCAAGGCUUUGACGGGUAGCCGGCCUGAGAGGGUGACCGGCCACAUUGGGACUGAGAUACGGCCCAGACGCCUACGGGAGGCAGUAGGGGGGAAUAUUGCACAAUGGGCGGAAGCCUGAUGCAGCAACGCCGCGUGCGUGAUGACGGCCUUCGGGUUGUAAACCGCUUUCGCCGGUGACGAAGCGUGAGUGACGGUAAUGGGUAAAGAAGCACCGGCUAACUACGUG
rnacentral:rRNA from 1 species